UACGGGGGGGGCAAGCGUUGUUCGGAAUUACUGGGCGUAAAGGGCUCGUAGGCGGCCAACUAAGUCACACGUGAAAUCCCUCGGCUCAACCGGGGAACUGCGUGUGUGACUGGAUGGCUUGAGUUUGGGAGAGGAAUGCGGAAUUCCAGGUGUAGCGGUGAAAUGCGUAGAUAUCCGGAGGAACACCGGUGGCGAAGGCGGCUUCCUGGACCGACACUGACGCUGAGGCGCGAAAGCUAGGGUAGCAAACGGG
rnacentral:rRNA from 1 species